rnacentral:ncRNA from 1 species
UACUGCGGUGAAUACGUUCCCGGGCCUUGUACACACCGCCCGUCACACCACGAAAGUCAUUCACACCCGAAGCCGGUGAGGUAACCGCAAGGAGCCAGCCGUCGAAGGUGGGGGCGAUGAUUGGGGUGAAGUCGUAACAAGGUAGCCGUAUCGGAAGGUGCGGCUGGAUCACCUCCUUU